CCUACGGGUGGCAGCAGUGGGGGAUAUUGCACAAUGGGGGCAACCCUGAUGCAGCGACGCCGCGUGAGUGAAGAAGUAUUUCGGUAUGUAAAGCUCUAUCAGCAGGGAAGAAAAUGACAGUACCUGACCAAGAAGCACCGGCUAAAUACGUGCCAGCAGCCGCGGUUAUACGGAGGGGGCAAGCGUUAUCCGGAUUUACUGGGGGUAAUGGGGGCGUAGCCGGUUUUGUAAGUCUGGAGUGAAUCCCCGGGGCCCAACCCCGGGACUGCUUUUGAAACUGUGUAACUGGAGCACAGGUGGGGCAGGCGGAAUGUCUGGUGUAGCGGUGAAAUGCGUAGAGAUCA
rnacentral:rRNA from 1 species